CCUACGGGAGGCUUCAGUGGGGAAUAUUGGACAAUGGGGGCAACCCUGAUCCAGCCAUGCCGCGUGUGUGAAGAAGGCCCUCGGGUUGUAAAGCACUUUCAGUGAGGAAGAACGCCUGGUGGUUAAUACCCAUCAGGAAAGACAUCACUCACAGAAGAAGCACCGGCUAACUCCGUGCCAGCAGCCGCGGUAAUACGGAGGGUGCGAGCGUUAAUCGGAAUUACUGGGCGUAAAGCGCGCGUAGGUGGCUUGAUAAGCCGGUUGUGAAAGCCCCGGGCUCAACCUGGGAACGGCAUCCGGAACUGUCAAGCUAGAGUGCAGGAGAGGAAGGUAGAAUUCCCGGUGUAGCGGUGAAAUGCGUAGAGAUCGGGAGGAAUACCAGUGGCGAAGGCGGCCUUCUGGACUGACACUGACACUGAGGUGCGAAAGCGUGGGUAGCAAACAGGAUUAGAUACCCUUGUAGUC
rnacentral:rRNA from 1 species